UACGUAGGGGUGCAAGCGUUAAUCGGAAUUACUGGGCGUAAAGCGUGCGCAGGCGGUUAUGUAAGACAGAUGUGAAGUCCCCGGGCUCAACCUGGGAACUGCAUUUGUGACUGCAUAGCUAGAGUACGGUAGAGGGGGAUGGAAUUCCGCGUGUAGCAGUGAAAUGCGUAGAUAUCAGGAAGAACACCCGUGGCUAAGGCGGCUCUCUAGUACGGUACUGACGCUGAGACGCGAAAGCCGUGGGGAGCGAACAGG
rnacentral:rRNA from 1 species